GUCCUUAGUUACCAGCACGUUAUGGUGGCACUCUAAGGAGACUGCCGGUGGACAAACCGGAGGAAGGUGGGGAUGACGUCAAGUCAUCAUGGCCCUUACGGCCUGGGCUACACACGUGCUACAAUGGUCGGUACAAAGGGUUGCCAAGCCGGCGAGGUGGAGCUAAUCCCAUAAAACCGAUCGUAGUCCGGAUCGCAGUCUGCAACUCGACUGCGUGAAGUCGGAAUCGCUAGUAAUCGUGAAUCAGAAUGUCACGGUGAAUACGUUCCCGGGCCUU
rnacentral:rRNA from 1 species